GGAGAGGUGGCCGAGUGGUUGAAGGCGCACGCCUGGAAAGUGUGUAUACAGCAAAACUGUAUCGAGGGUUCGAAUCCCUUCCUCUCCG
rnacentral:tRNA from 1 species